rnacentral:rRNA from 1 species
AUUGAACGCUGGCGGCAGGCCUAACACAUGCAAGUCGAGCGAGCGGCGGACGGGUGAGUAAUGUAUGGGGACUGCCUGAUGGCGGGGGAUAACUACUGGAAACGGUAGUUAAUACCGCAUACUAUCGGAUAACCCAUAUGGGAUUAGCUAGUAGGUAAGGUAAUGGCUUACCAAGGCGACGAUCCCUAGCUGGUCUGAGAGGAUGAUCAGCCACACUGGGACUGAGACACGGCCCAGACUCCUACGGAGGCAGCAGUGGGGAAUAUUGGACAAUGGGCGAAAGCCUGAUGCAGCCAUGCCGCGUGUAUGAAGAAGGCCCUAGGGUUGUAAAGUACUUUCAGUUGGGAGGCGUUACCGACAGAAGAAGCACCGGCUAACUCCGUGCCAGCAGCCGCGGUAAUAC